AAAUGAGACAGAGCAUGGACCCCUCCUAGGGAUCUGUUGGACAACCCCCACAAACAUGGAAAUAAAGGAAAAUCUUGAGUUCCUUAAAGGGAAAUUACAGCUAGCCCUGAGAAGUAAAGGAACAACUUGAUAAGCAAGAAGGCUCCUCCUGUCCUGUCUGUUGUCUUAGCAAGCUCUGCUUCCCUUGUUCACAGCAUCCCCAUCACAAUGGUGGUCACUGGACCCCUAUGGUCUGGGGCUGUAGUGGCACCUGCUAUAUGAGGCUGAGAGGAGAGGCUGCUCAGACGCAGAGAGCCCAGUUGAAAUCUACCCACACUUGCUAUUAAAUCACAAGCCGUCCACACAAAGAACAAAAUCCAACCAAGAGCUACGGGAAAGCAUUCCAGACAGCUUAUUACGAUGCAUAACAUUUGACCAACAUAAAUUCAAAGUCGAGCAAAUGAAGGCAAAAAGGCAGAAGGGAAGAGUGAAAGUGGACCCAGAAAUAGGGCGAAGCAUGUCUGCCACACUCAUCUACCUGCUGACCAUGGUGAACCUCAUGGUGAGCUGUUGACCACAGGAUUCACCACAGAAUUCACUCUCCAGAAGACAAAAACUGCUGUGGAGAUUGGAAAAUUUAUCUUAAAAUAUUAAGGUCAGACAAGAACCUCUGUCAAGGAACAGGAAGUCAUGCCCUGAAGAGACAAGUAGAGGCUGUAGCCAUGGGUGGCUUUGGGGUAGUAGCUGUUGGCUGUGCCUAGAAGGACAUCAUGAAAGUUUUUUCCAACCACAAAGGGCCCAGAGUUUCCCUUGUGAAUGAGCUCAGCAUCCUCACGUUUCCAAGAGGAAUCAACACCGCAAUUCCUCGGACCACGGUGGCUCUCUUCCCAGCACACCCUUGCUGUGACCUGCACCCCUGCAUUGUCCUCAAAGACACACUAAGAAAACACAGUUCAGAAGGAAGGACGUAACGGAGCUCAUGAUCCAGUUCUGCAUUUGGCGUGGCCCCAAAGACACUGUGUGCAGAGUCAGAAAUAUGCUCCCCAGUUGGACUCCAUGGGAUACUGUUUCAAAAGAGCUAUCAUUCUUGUCUGUUUACCACAUAUCUUGUUGUAAUAGGCUCUUCUUUUCCAGAAUUUUUAAUUUUCCCUGGCAUUUUGUGUUUUGGUAAUUGCCUACAAGAAUAGUUCUAUAACAUAAAUCAACAAUGAAAACCAAAUUACCCCUGCCCACAUCCUUUCAUUCCUUUUUCAUCUCUAAUGAUAUUUUCUGUAUGAUGACUAACCCAGACUGACGUAAUUUAUCAAUUGAUCUUGACGAUGUACAUUAGAAAAUACAUUCUGCAGGCCCCAGCAGGCCAUCCUCCAUGUGCGCCACGUAGCUUUAGAAAACCUAUUAGUGCAACAGAAAUAUCUAAAGCCCAGCCUUUUUGCUAAGAAUAUUAGAACUGGUGCUAAUUACUUUAUUAAUCAUAAAGUGAAACAGCCGUGCUAUGUCACCACAGCCGUAAAAUAAGUGGUUUUAUGGCAAAAGUAGUUAAAGAGAAAGGACAGAUUGGAUUUAUAAUACUCAGCUGGUUAAAAAAAAGAAAUUAUGCAUACCAGCAAUUUUCUUUCUUUGGUUAAAUGUUCAUUAAAUGUGUACCACUAAAAACCAUUUGUAACUAAUUCCCUAGUGGGUCCAUGCCUUAAAAUAAUUUAUUUUAAAAUACAAAUUAAGGCUUAAAUUUGCCUUUUUAUUAAAAAUAGGUAUAAUGAGUCAACAUAUCUCCUAAGAGAAAGGAGCGUUGCAGACAUGCUGAUGAGAGGAAUCUUGUCGCCAAAACCUGGAGGCCAUGCUGGUGUUGGGGACUUAGGCUAUCCUGCAGGUGCCUGUCACCAUUAAGGGCGGCAGAAUUCAGAGGCUUUGGUCCAGGUUAAAGCACAGAGGCGGCCACUGUCUGAAGACAGGGACACCACAAUGACCAUCAUUGAGGGCAAUGUUUAUGCUUCCAUUGUUAGUUUAGAUAUUUUGUUUUCUUUAAAGUCAGUAUUGUCUCUGAGUAAAUAAAACAAUCUCCAGUUUCUACAAGUAUGCUUGGCUUUCACACACUUUGCAAUUAAAAAAAACUAGGAUUCAUC